GCAAACAUUAAAACAAUGUAAAUAGGCAUAUUACUGGAAUCACAACACAAGAAUUAAGAUAAAAACACAGGUCUCGAAUUAAAACUAAGAAUCAAACAAAUUUGUCAUCCAUCCAAUACCUGAAAAAAAUUAGCCUAACAUAAUGUUGGAAUCAAACACAUAAAAGAGGAAGGACAUCUCCGAAAUUUGAUGAAACGUGAUUAAUAUCACAAAUUUCCUGCACGUGUGUAUUUCUAUUUCUCCGAGGCAGCCGUCAAUGAUUUUGUAACUCCCAGUUUGCAGCCCUUUUUCUCUAUAUAAUUUUCCAAGGUAGCCGAGUUUGUUGACUCCAAAAAGGGAACAAUUGUCUCCUGCAAAAAACUUGUGCGUGUGAUGUCUCUUUCCAGCAGCCUAUAUAAUCCAGCAAUCGGCAAUUGUGUGUGUAUCUAUUCAAUUCUCUUCCAAUACAGGUCUGCCCUCUUUUACUUUCAAUGCGUGAAAUUGUGGGUGUGGAAUAUAUAUAAAUUAUGGCAGCUCCCAAUUUGUUUGUAUCUGAAAUUCUCCCCAAUUUCUGCCGUGUGAUGUGUAUAUAAUUCCAGCCGGUAGCUGCCACUUUCUUCUCGCCAAUCUCUCGAUGUUGCUGUGUAUAUAUAUUUCCAGUUGGCUUAUGUUCCCCUCCAAGCAGCUCUCCAAUUUCCCCAGUUAAUUGGUGUGUAAAAUAUAUAUAAAUCAGCUCCCAAUGCCGGUAUGCUCCUCUAUCUCUUUCCUUUUAGUUGGCUACCGUCUUUCAAUGGUUUUGUCUCCAAUUCUCCCCAGUUUCCUGCCGUCUUUUUUUUUUUUUAAAUAUAUAAUGUAGGUUAGUCUCCAUAUGUAUUCAUCAUUAUUGAAAUCAGCCCAAGAGGCCCAUUUAUACCUCAAUUUCCUCCAAGUCCUCAAUUAUCUAAAAUUCAUACAAUUUAAUCCUUUACCCCAAUUAAUUAUGCAACCUAUGUCUUUCUCUAGUUCAAUUCACGUCCUUAAAAUUUCAAAGUAUAGAAUGAUUCCCAAACUCUCUCUCCAAUGGCCAAUUUGUUCUUCACCCUUUUCCAUUUGCUCUGAACGAGUCCAAAACUAAAAAAAAAAAUAAUAAUAAAUUAAUUAAUUAAUUAACCCAAGUUAAAUAGGAAUUAAUAAAUUAACAACAUAAAAAUUUAAUAAUAU
rnacentral:lncRNA from 1 species